AACGAACGCUGGCGGCAUGCCUAACACAUGCAAGUCGAACGAGACCUUCGGGUCUAGUGGCGCACGGGUGCGUAACGCGUGGGAACCUGCCUUUAGGUUCGGAAUAACUCAGAGAAAUUUGAGCUAAUACCGGAUGAUGUCUUCGGACCAAAGAUUUAUCGCCUUUAGAUGGGCCCGCGUUGGAUUAGCUAGUUGGUGGGGUAAAGGCCUACCAAGGCGACGAUCCAUAGCUGGUCUGAGAGGAUGAUCAGCCACACUGGGACUGAGACACGGCCCAGACUCCCACGGGAGGGGGCGGGGGGAAAUAUUGAAAAAGGGGCGAAGGCCUGACCCACCAUUCCCGCGUGAGGAAUAAGGCCCUUGGGGUUGAAAACCUUUUUUACCGGAGAUGAUAAUCACAUUAUGGGGAAAAUAACCCCCGCCCACCCCCGUC
rnacentral:rRNA from 1 species